UACGUAGGGACCAAGCGUUGUUCGGAUUUACUGGGCGUAAAGGGCGCGUAGGCGGCGCGGUAAGUCACUUGUGAAAUCUCUGAGCUUAACUCAGAACGGCCAAGUGAUAACUGCAGUGCUAGAGUGUGGAAGAGGCGAGUGGAAUUCCUGGUGUAGCGGUGAAAUGACGCAGAUAUCAGGAGGAACACCGGUGGCGAAGGCGGGAUCCUGGGCCAGUACUGACGCUGAGGAGCGAAAGCGUGGGGAGCAAACAGG
rnacentral:rRNA from 1 species